GAAAUUUUGAUACGGUACAUAUAUCUAUUUGCUUUUUUGACAUCGACUCAUUAUCUAAUACCGUGUACUCAUGUCUAAUAAUGCCACGUGUGUACUAAUAUUGUGUACCUAAUACCUAUGUAUAUUUGUUUUUAGUUUUAAAAAAAAUCGAUUCCUAUACAAAAAUACAAAAAGGUCACUAGCUAAAACAGAAAGCAAUUCGAGUGAAUGAUAUUUUUGAAAUCGGUAGGCAAUUCAAGAAACUUUUUUUAAAAAAAAAAAUCACGGGAGGCGAUUUGAGGGUCAGGUGGGAGGCAAUUCGUGCGCGCCCAAAAAUAAUAUACUAAAUAUUUAAACUUACUUAAAGCUAAUAAAAAAAAAUAAAAAAUAUCUUAACUUGUUACAGAUUUUUAAAAUUUUCUAACUAAUAGAGUUAAG